rnacentral:rRNA from 1 species
AUUGAACGCUGGCGGAAUGCUUUACACAUGCAAGUCGAACGGCAGCAUAGGUGCUUGCACCUGAUGGCGAGUGGCGAACGGGUGAGUAAUAUAUCGGAACGUGCCCAGUCGCGGGGGAUAACGUAGCGAAAGCUACGCUAAUACCGCAUACGAUCUACGGAUGAAAGCGGGGGACCUUCGGGCCUCGCGCGAUUGGAGCGGCCGCUAUCAGAUUAGGUAGUUGGGGGGGUAAAGGCUCACCAAGCCAACGAUCUGUAGCUGGUCUGAGAGGACGACCAGCCACACUGGGACUGAGACACGGCCCAGACUCCUACGGGAGGCAGCAGUGGGGAAUUUUGGACAAUGGACGCAAGUCUGAUCCAGCCAUUCCGCGUGCAGGACGAAGGCCUUCGGGUUGUAAACUGCUUUUGUACAGAACGAAAAGGUUUCUACUAAUACUAGGGGCUCAUGACGGUACUGUAAGAAUAAGCACCGGCUAACUACGUGCCAGCAGCCGCCGCCG